UAACAGUCCGCGUGUUACCUCGAAACGUUAAACAGAUAAUUACACGUGGAAAUAUUAAACAUCGAUGUUUCAAUAAUGUUUCUCAUCGGUUUUAGAACGGUGACGUUUAUGAACGAAAUAUGCAUUCGUGAAUUUUAAAAGCUUAGAAAAGACGAAC